UGGGAAGGCCCAGACAGCCAGGAUGUUGGCUUAGAAGCAGCCAUCAUUUAAAGAAAGCGUAAUAGCUCACUGGUCGAGUCGGCCUGCGCGGAAGAUGUAACGGGGCUAAACCAUGCACCGAAGCUGCGGCAGCGACGCUGAUGCGUUGUUGGGUAGGGGAGCGUUCUGUAAGCCUGCGAAGGUGGCCUGUGAGGGUUGCUGGAGGUAUCAGAAGUGCGAAUGCUGACAUAAGUAACGAUAAAGCGGGUGAAAAGCCCGCUCGCCGGAAGACCAAGGGUUCCUGUCCAACGUUAAUCGGGGCAGGGUGAGUCGACCCCUAAGGCGAGGCCGAAAGGCGUAGUCGAUGGGAAACG
rnacentral:rRNA from 2 species